UGAACUUAAGCAUAUCAAUAAGCGGAGGAAAAGAAACCAACAGGGAUUGCCUCAGUAACGGCGAGUGAAGCGGCAAAAGCUCAGAUUUUAAAUCCAGUGUCUUUGGGACAUUUGAGUUGUAAUCUGCAGAGAGGUGUUCCGAGCAGUAUCUUGGCUCAAGUUCCUUGGAACAGGAUGUCAUGGAGGGUGAGAAUCCCGUGAAUGGCCUUGAUCUUACUUGCUCAUUGUGAACCUUCUUCAGCGAGUCGAGUUGUUUGGGAAUGCAGCUCUAAAUGGGUGGUAAAUUUCAUCUAAAGCUAAAUACUGGCAGGAGACCGAUAGCGCACAAGUAGAGUGAUCGAAAGAUGAAAAGAACUUUGGAAAGAGAGUUAAAUAGUACGUGAAAUUGUUGAAAGGGAAGCACUUGCUCCCAGACUUGCCUGUGGCUGAUCAGCCUUCAUUCUUUGGAGGUGCACUCGGCUAUUUUGGGCAGGCCAGCAUCAGUUUAGACAGAGGGAAAAAGACUGGGGGAAUGUGACUUUCCUUGGAAAGUGUUAUAGCCUCUGGUGCAAUAUCUCUAGUCCUGGACUGAGGACCGCGCUGCAAAGUGAGGAUGCUGGCAUAAUGGUCGUAAGUGACCCGUCUUGAAACACGGACCAAGGAGUCUAACAGCUGUGCGAGUGUUUGGGUGCUUAAACCCUUGCGCGGAAUGAAAGUGAAUGGAGGUGGGAACUGUCACAAGUGCACCAUCGACCGAUCCUGAAGUCUUCUGAUGGAUUUGAGUAGGAGCAUAGCUGUUGGGACCCGAAAGAUGGUGAACUAUGCCUGAAUAGGGUGAAGCCAGAGGAAACUCUGGUGGAGGCUCGCAGCGGUUCUGACGUGCAAAUCGAUCGUCAAAUUUGGGUAUAGGGGCGAAAGACUAAUCGAACCAUCUAG
rnacentral:rRNA from 2 species